rnacentral:rRNA from 1 species
AAUCAACGCUGGCGGCGUGCCUAACACAUGCAAGUCGAACGAGAAAGGGGGCUUCGGUCCCUGAGUACAGUGGCGCACGGGUGAGUAACACGUGACUUAUCUAACCCUCGAGUGGGGAAUAACUUCGGGAAACCGAGGCUAAUACCCGCAUAAUACCCACGGGUCAAAGGAGCAAUUCGCUUGAGGAGGAGGUCGCGGCCGAUUAGUAGUUGCGGGGUAAUGGCCCCACCAGACGGUGAUCGGUAUCCGGCCUGAGAGGGCGCACGGACACACUGGAACUGAAACACGGUCCAGACUCCUACGGGAGGCAGCAGUGGGGAAUUUUGCGCAAUGGGGGAAACCCUGACGCAGCAACGCCGCGUGGAGGAUGAAGUCUCUUGGGACGUAAACUCCUUUCGAUCGGGACGAUUAUGACGGUACCGGAAGAAGAAGCCCCGGCUAACUUCGUG